GAACGCAGACGGCUAAGAGAGCCAUCUGUUGACAGUCGUCAAUUGCCCACUGUCAUGGAGUUGCUCUCUUCAGAUGCCUGCAU
rfam:Ascaris suum AG00064, whole genome shotgun sequence.